UUGUAGCUAGAGGUCUCUUCCGUCUUUUCCUUCCCCGACUCCCUGCUAGACUCUUUCGUGGACAGAAAGCUCCGGGUAGCCGACUCCACAUCUCCGGCUACCGACAGAGCGUCCACAUCCCCGCCUAGCGACAGAGAGCGUAGAAAAGGACUGCGCCCAGCUGAUCCACCGGCUCCUGCUUCGUUUCUGCUGAGCUAGACCCAGCGAGCCUAGAGAGUUGGGCUGAAUAACUAGUAUUUUCAUUUAAUUGAAUUUGAAGAAAGAACAAAUAUAUACGGGGGCAACCACGAUCUUUAUAAAGAACAUAAGUUCCAGGAAAACAGGAACCUUGUCUCUUGUUCACGUAUCAUCUGCAUAUAGAACAGUGCGUGGCACAUAAUAGGUGCUGAAAUAUAAAUUCUACAAAUGCAAGAAUCUUUGUAUUGCCCAGUGAUGUAAGCCGAGCAUGUGAGACAGAGCCUGGCACCAAUAGGUACCCACAACGAUUUUCAAAUGAAUGAAUGACUGAAUGAAUGAAUGAGUUUUAACAGGAAAAAGUCACAUUUUUAUGUAAAAAGUUACUGUCUUAAUCUCUUUUAUAUUUUAAAGGGAAAAAAUAAUUAACAUUCUGCUAGUCCGAAAUUCAGAUUUGCAGUGAAGAUAUGCUAAGACACAGAAAGAUGAUUUCUUUUCAGGAAAGAAUCUCUAAAUGAAAAUCAUGUGAUUAUUAGGCUCUAUACAUACCAUCAAAAUUCUAAUUCAGUCAGCCCCACCCUGAAUCCAGUCACAACUCUCAUUUAAUCCACUUCCCUCCUCUUCUAAUUGAAUCACUUUCUCCAAUGCUAGUAAACCCUUUCAUUACAAAGUUACCAGCCCACAAAAUGUGACAAUUUUGCUUGAGGCUUUUAGUAAGAAAAUGGAGGAAAAAACUCAAUGCUCACAAGUUAGAAAUUACAUUUAAAGUAGUAUAAAUGAUAGCAUCUGUUCUAUUUUUAACCUAAAAAUGAUUAAUUUUCUAAUAUAAAAAGCUGGUGCUUUAAUCUGUUUUGAUAAGUGAAAAGGAUAGAAAAAUAAAGUAGCUUGCCUUCUCCCAACAAAUCCUGAUUUUAAUUGAAGAUACUUUGGGACCCAGAGAGGAGAUUUCCUGGGAACACCCUCAAAAUGAAAUUUGCUGAUGGUCCAGGCUACAUUACUAGAUAAUAUUAUAAUUUAACCACCUCUUAUCCGAUCCAAGCACAUAGCUACCUAUCACUUUCUGGCCACUCCAUUAUUACUAAGACAAUUAAAAGCAAGCAUAUUAAAAAAAAACAGUUAAAAUGAAAGAACUAAAAUAUAGAAAAUAAAGGGAUAGAAAAGGACGUACCAGGCAAAUAUUAAAAAACAACAAAAAACUGUGUAGCAAAUUAAUUAUCAAAAGUAUUCUUUGAGUAGCAUUAACAAGGACAUUUGUGGGGCAUCUUUUGCAUUCCAAAGAAAUGGAAAACAUUAAGUCAUGAACAUGUAUGUAACUAAUUGCAUGGUCUGGAAAUUUUGAGACAAUAAUAAAGAAUUAAAAGGUAAAACUGACAAAUCUGUAAUGAUGGGAAUUUUUUUAAUGGCAAUCUCUGCCAGAUUAAACAAAUUAGCAACAUUGAUGCAUUGUGUGCACAGAUACAUAUGCUUACUGUAUUUAUAUUUGCAUAUAUAUUUAUAUGUCUCAUUUAUAUAUGUAUAUAAAAUCCUUCAACUAAAACAAAAGAAAUAUAUAUUCUUUUCAAAAAAUGUUGGACAUUCAUACAAUUAACUGUAAAGCCCCCAAAUAAAUUCAAUUAAUGUCUAUGUACUCAUUUCUAAAUGAUAUGUAGUCUUUCUAAUUUUUGAACUUUAUAUAAAUGUGAAAAAUGUUUAUAUAAAUGAAUCAUGUAAAAUGUUCAAAAUGUUUAUGGAAAUGAAUUGUAUGCUUUUAUGUUUUGCUUUCAUAUAGCUGUUGUAUACUUUAUAGAAUUUAAUUGGGUAAAAGUACACAGUAUACUGGGCUGUUUAUACUCUGCACCCUGAUUCCCAACCCCAAGCUACCCCCAUGAGGACAUCUGGGCCCAACAGCUUGGGAGGAAGAAUGAUUAUUUAUUAAUUUAAAAAAUUAUUUCCAGUUUAUUCCAUAGUUGUUACUUUUUUCAAUGAUGUCAAUUAAAAUAUUUUAAAAUUAUUUAGCUUCCUUUUAAUAUCAUGUAUUUACCUAAAGUAUUAUGUUACUGUACCUUUUUUCUUACUCCUACUUUUUCACUUAUUCCUACCACAUAUGCUCUU